rnacentral:rRNA from 1 species
UACGGAGGGUGCAAGCGUUAAUCGGAAUCACUGGGCGUAAAGCGCACGUAGGCGGCUUGGUAAGUCAGGGGUGAAAUCCCACAGCCCAACUGUGGAACUGCCUUUGAUACUGGCGUCCUUGAGUGCGGUUGAGGUGUGCGGAAUUCGUGGUGUAGCGGUGGAAUGCGUAGAUAUCGGGAGGAACACCAGUGGCGAAGGCGGCCUACUGGGCACCAACUGACGCUGAGGCUCGAAAGUGUGGGUAGCAAACAGG